AGUCGACGAUGAGCCCAGCUUGCUGGGUGGAUUAGUGGCGAACGGGUGAGUAACACGUGAGUAACCUGCCCUUAACUCUGGGAUAAGCCUGGGAAACUGGGUCUAAUACCGGAUAGGAGCGUCCACCGCAUGGUGGGUGUUGGAAAGAUUUAUCGGUUUUGGAUGGACUCGCGGCCUAUCAGCUUGUUGGUGAGGUAAUGGCUCACCAAGGCGACGACGGGUAGCCGGCCUGAGAGGGUGACCGGCCACACUGGGACUGAGACACGGCCCAGACUCCUACGGGAGGCAGCAGUGGGGAAUAUUGCACAAUGGGCGCAAGCCUGAUGCAGCGACGCCGCGUGAGGGAUGACGGCCUUCGGGUUGUAAACCUCUUUCAGUAGGGAAGAAGCGAAAGUGACGGUACCUGCAGAAGAAGCACCGGCUAACUACGUGCCAGCAGCCGCGGUAAUACGUAGGGUGCGAGCGUUUAUCCGGAAUUAUUGGGCGUAAAGAGCUCGUAGGCGGUUUUGUCGCGUCUGUCG
rnacentral:rRNA from 1 species